AUUGAACGCUGGCGGCAGGCCUAACACAUGCAAGUCGAACGAGUGGCGGACGGGUGAGUAAUGUCGGGGAAACUGCCCGAUGGAGGGGGAUAACUACUGGAAACGGUAGCUAAUACCGCAUACCAUCGGGUGUGCCCAGAUGGGAUUAGCUAGUAGGUGGGGUAACGGCUCACCUAGGCGACAAUCCCUAGCUGGUCUGAGAGGAUGAACAUCCACACUGGAACUGAGACACGGUCCAGACUCCUACGGGAGGCAGCAGUUGGGAAUAUUGCACAAUGGGCGCAAGCCUGAUGCAGCCAUGCCGCGUGUGUGAAGAAGGCCUUCGGGUUGUAAAGUACUUUCAGCGAGGAGGCGUUACUCGCAGAAGAAGCACCGGCUAACUCCGUGCCAGCAGCCGCGGUAAUUC
rnacentral:rRNA from 1 species